CAGCCAUAUCACGUUGAAACACCAGUUACUGUACGACCACUGAAGUUAAGCAACAUCGAGCCUGGUCAGUACCUAGAUGAGUGACCACUUCAGAAUACCAGGUGUUGUAAG